CUACAGGGGGCUGCAGUGGGGAAUAUUGCACAAUGGACGAAAGUCUGAUGCAGCAACGCCGCGUGGAGGAUGACACAUUUCGGUGCGUAAACUCCUUUUAUAUAGGAAGAUAAUGACGGUACUAUAUGAAUAAGCGCCGGCUAACUCCGUGCCAGCAGCCGCGGUAAUACGGAGGGCGCAAGCGUUACUCGGAAUCACUGGGCGUAAAGAGCGUGUAGGCGGAUAGAUAAGUCAGGAGUGAAAUCCUAUGGCUCAACCAUAGAACUGCUCUUGAAACUGUCUAUCUAGAAUAUGGGAGAGGUAGAUGGAAUUUCUGGUGUAGGGGUAAAAUCCGUAGAGAUCAGAAGGAAUACCGAUUGCGAAGGCGAUCUACUGGAACAUUAUUGACGCUGAGACGCGAAAGCGUGGGGAGCAAACAGGAUUAGAUACCCCUGUAGUC
rnacentral:rRNA from 1 species